CGACGAGAGUUUGUAGUCCUACGGCUCCAGGAGUGAAACGGCUGGCGGCGUAGCUUAACACAUGCAAGUCGACGGAAGCGGUUACAGGGAGUCCCUUCCGGGAGGAACGGUAACUGUCUGAGUGGCGGACGGGUGAGUAACGCGUGGGCAACCUGCCCCAUACCGGGGGAUAACAGCCGGAAACGGCUGCUAAUACCGCAUACGCCCAGGAGGCUGCAUAGCUUCCUGGGGAAAACUCCGGUGGUAUGGGAUGGGCCCGCGUCUGAUUAGCUCGUUGGCGGGGUAACGGCCCACCAAGGCGACGAUCAGUAGCCGGCCUGAGAGGGCGGCCGGCCACAUUGGGACUGAGACACGGCCCAGACUCCUGCGGGAGGCAGCAGUGGGGAAUAUUGCACAAUGGGGGAAACCCUGAUGCAGCGACGCCGCGUGAGCGAUGAAGUAUCUCGGUAUGUAAAGCUCUAUCAGCAGGGAAGAAAGUGACAGUACCUGACUAGGAAGCCCCGGCUAACUACGUG
rnacentral:rRNA from 1 species